CAUUACUGAGUUGUCGACACGAGCUGUUGCUGGUCCUCAAAAUGAGGGGGCAUGUGCACGCUCUGUUCACACAUCCACUCACACCUGUGCACCCCCUGUAGUUCUAUGGUCUGGAGGACUUGCCGUCUUCUUCCUGUAGUUCUACGUCUUUACACACACACCGUAGCGAAGUCUUAUGGAAUGUGCGCCGCGUUUAACGCAAUAAAAUACAACUUUCAGCAACGGAUCUCUUGGCUCUCGCAUCGAUGAAGAACGCAGCGAAAUGCGAUAAGUAAUGUGAAUUGCAGAAUUCAGUGAAUCAUCGAAUCUUUGAACGCACCUUGCGCCUCUUGGCUAUUCCGAGGGGCAUGCCUGUUUGAGUAUCAUGAACACCUCAACUCUCACGGUUCACCCGUGAUGAGCUUGGACUUCUGGAGGUUUUGCUGGCCUGUGGACCAGCUCCUCUCAAAUGAAUCAGCUUACCAGUGUUUGGUGGCGCCAUGGGUGUGAUAACUAUCUACGCUUGCGGCUGUUCGCCAUGUAACCUUCAGCGAUGGGGGUUCGCUGGGGCUUACAAAUGUCUCUCCUCAGCGGAGACAGCUUUUUG
rnacentral:rRNA from 1 species